GGGCGGGGCGGGCGGUGCCCCGGGCUGGGCUAGGGGCCGGGUGCGGGGCCGCGGGCCGAGAGACUGAAGCGGCGUCAUGUCCUCCGAGGUGUCCGCGCGCCGCGACGCCAAGAAGCUGGUGCGCUCCCCUAGCGGCCUGCGCAUGGUGCCCGAGCACCGCGCCUUCGGAAGCCCGUUCGGCCUGGAGGAGCCGCAGUGGGUCCCGGACAAGGAGUGUCGGAGAUGUAUGCAGUGUGACGCCAAGUUUGACUUUCUCACCAGAAAGCACCACUGUCGCCGCUGCGGGAAGUGCUUCUGCGACAGGUGCUGCAGCCAGAAGGUGCCGCUGCGGCGCAUGUGCUUUGUGGACCCCGUGCGGCAGUGCGCGGAGUGCGCCCUGGUGUCCCACAAGGAGGCGGAGUUCUACGACAAGCAGGCUCAAAGUGCUCCUGAGCGGAGCCACCUUCCUCGUCACGUUUGGAAACUCAGAGAAACCCGAAACUAUGAUUUGUCGUCUUUCCAAUAACCAGAGAUACUUGUUUCUGGAUGGAGACAGCCACUAUGAAAUCGAAAUUGUGCACAUUUCCACCGUGCAGCUCCUCACAGAAGGCUUCCCUCCUGGAGAAAAAGACAUUCACGCUUACACCAGCCUCCUGGGGAGCCAGCCUGCCUCUGAAGGUCAGCCUCUUCCUCCUCGCCGGGGCUCCCUGCAUGCGGCGGACCCGUUCCUCCCCUCGCCACCUGGCUUC